UAGAAGGAUUUGUUUGUAUUUAAUAAAUCAAUUUAUUAAAAUCUUUUUCAGAUAUUUUUUUGGGUGGAAAAAAUAUUUUUUUACUAUUAACAAUAUUCGUUAGUAUUAACAAAAUCUAUUUUUUAUGAGAACAAAAUUUUUGUAACUAUUAAGAAGCUUUAAUAUAUUGAAAAAAAUAUUUAUUUCCACCAAAUAAGAUUUGUUAAUAGUUAAAAAAUAUUUUGUUGGUGGUCGGUGUUGAUAGAUGGCUAUACUUAACGCGUAGUUGUAAAAAAAUAUAUAUGCAUAUACAUGAUUUUCAUACGAUAAGUUGCUUAUUAUUUUAUACUUUGUGGAAAACAAUUAAUAAAAUGGAAGCUUUGCUACAAUCGUGGGAUUUAAGUGAGUUAUACUCGAUUUUUUGUGUAAACCAUAUAACUGACUUUGAAAUCCUUAGUGAAUUCCAUACCAAAAUUCGAGAAGAGACCCAAAAAGAAAUAAUCCCUAGUUUGGUUUACGACUUCGUUUAAAUAAAAAAUAUAAUGAAUAUAUUUCCCAUCACGAGAAGAUUAAUGUAAAACUUUUCUAAAAAUAAUAAGAGGAAUUUUUUAAAUAUUAAUAAUCCAGUGUGUAAAUACUGAUAAAUGAUUUAUUAAAUAUUAAUAAAUCAUUUUUUAUAUGUUAAUAAAUCAUUUGUUAAAUAGUAAUAAAUAUUUGGU